rnacentral:rRNA from 1 species
GGAUACCGCUUUCACGUUGGAAAAACGGAAAGCUGGAAACGGUCCGCCGCCGGAGGACGUGACUGCGGCCGAUUAGGUAGACGGUGGGGUAACGGCCCACCGUGCCAAUAAUCGGUACGGGUUGUGAGAGCAAGAGCCCGGAGACGGAAUCUGAGACAAGAUUCCGGGCCCUACGGGGCGCAGCAGCCGCGAAACCUUUACACUGCACGACAGUGCGAUAAGGGGAUCCCGAGUGCGAGGGCAUACAGUCCUCGCUUUUCGUGACCGUAAGGUGGUCACAGAAUAAGGGCUGGGCAAGACCGGUGCCAGCCGCCGCGGUAAUACCGGCAGCCCGAGUGAUAGCCAAUUUUAUUGGGCCUAAAGCGUCCGUAGCCGGCCGAACGGGUCCGUCGGGAAAUCCACCCGCUUAACGGGUGGGCGUCCGGCGGAAACCAGUCGGCUUGGGGCCGGGAGACCAGAGGGGUACGUCCGGGGUAGGAGUGAAAUCCUGUAAUCCUGGACGGACCACCGGUUGCGAAAGCGCCUCUGGAGAACGGACCCGACGGUGAGGGACGAAAGCUAGGGUCUCGAACCGGAUUAGAUACCCGGGUAGUCCUAGCCGUAAACGAUGCUCGCUAGGUGUGACGCAGGCUACGAGCCUGCGUUGCGCCGUAGGGAAGCCGAGAAGCGAGCCGCCUGGGAAGUACGUCCGCAAGGAUGAAACUUAAAGGAAUUGGCGGGGGAGCACUACAACCGGAGGAGCCUGCGGUUUAAUUGGACUCAACGCCGGACAUCUCACCGGCACCGACAACGUGCAGUGACGGUCAGUUUGAUGAGCUUACCUGAGCCGUUGAGAGGAGGUGCAUGGCCGCCGUCAGCUCGUACCGUGAGGCGUCCUGUUAAGUCAGGCAACGAGCGAGACCCGCGUCCAUAAUUGCCAGCAGCACCCUUGUGGUGGCUGGGUACAUUAUGGAGACUGCCGUCGCUAAGACGGAGGAAGGAACGGGCAACGGUAGGUCAGUAUGCCCCGAAUGUGCCGGGCGACACGCGGGCUACAAUGGCCAGGACAGUGGGACGCUACCCCGAGAGGGGACGCUAAUCUCCUAACCCUGGUCGUAGUUCGGAUUGCGGA